GGUUCUCUUAAGAUCUUUGACC
rnacentral:siRNA from 1 species